rnacentral:ncRNA from 1 species
ACGGACGCGAGGAGAGGCCAAGGCCGAGCCGGAAGAGAAGGCUCGAUCUCCCGAACCGAGCGGCCCAGCACGGAUACGGGCACCCACGCGGAGCACAUGCCGCGAUAGAGGCAGAAGCGUUGCGGGCCUGCGGAAUUGCGAACAGCGGACGGACGUGCGACCUCUUGGGCGGGGUCGUCGCCGGGGCGCAGCGCAAGAACGCCGAGGCCGACCCACGCAACCCAUACAGCACGCUUGGUAACCGGUAUCCGUGCUAGCGGGCGGCGAGCCGAGACACAUCACCCGAUGUGCAUCGGAUCGUCGCCCGCUUCGAUUU